GACGAACCGUGCGAACGUUGUUCGGAAUCACUGGGCUUAAAGGGCGCGUAGGCGGGCCGCCAAGUCCGCGGUGAAAUCCCCCGGCUCAACCGGGGAACUGCCGCGGAUACUGGAGGUCUCGAGGGGGGUAGGGCAUGCGGAACUACGGGUGGAGCGGUGAAAUGCGUUGAUAUCCGUAGGAACUCCGGUGGCGAAGGCGGCGUGCUGGACCCCUUCUGACGCUGAGGUGCGAAAGCGUGGGGAGCAAACAGG
rnacentral:rRNA from 1 species